CCACCGUAGACAAAACUUUUACAGCUCAUCCUAUUUUAACAAUUUUCAAUUUUAUAGAAGCAGACGUCAAGGAGUGGGUAAGGGACUGCAGACCUCUUAGACUCCCAGAGGCAGCCCAGCUUGCGGAUGAAUACCAUGAAGCUCGCAAGUUGGACCAUCCUCCACCCUGGGUUCAAACCCUGUGGACCCAGACAGCAAGGGGGAGCUAUCACUCCCCCAUCCGACCUACCCCUACCAACACCAAACCCCCUCUAGCACAGGGUCUCAUUGCUAUUGCUGCUGUGACGGACCGCCUGACACCCCGACUGGGCUUCCUAGUAGCCUAUAAGCACCAUACCGGACACCACACCUGACUCCCUACCUGUAUGGACAAGAGUUCACUCUGGUUACAGACCAUAACCCGUUGAUGGGUUAUCAAGGCAGCUGCCACAGCUUGGCUGGGGUCUCAUCGUCCCUUCUCACCCUGGAUUAAACUCCUGGAUCUAGCUCCCAGUGUACUUUUGUACUCCAGACAGAGAGACCAAAUGAUUCCCUGGAACUGUUUUGGGCAUAGGACAUUGUGCACGGUCGGUAAAAAUAAGACUUCCAGUUAAUUCAUGAACUGAUCUGGGUGAUUUUUGAAUAUGUUUGUCAUCCAGAUCUGGGCUAUCAGGGGAUGUAACAUUUGUGGGGUUUUAUGCAUUUUUAGGGUACUUUUGGGGUGUUUUUACAAAGUUUGUUUUUUCUGUGCUUAGAGAUAAUUUGAAUAGAAUUAGUACAGUUACUGAUCCAAUUAUCUCCCAAGCAGAGGAGAGGGAUUGUGUGCUAUGUGUGGGAGUGUCGUGCCUUGUGACCUUAUUGUUAUUGAUCUGUGAAGUCGAAAAUCAGUCCCCCUGUGGGCGUAUCCCCUUGCAUGGGGAUUGUCAUAUAAGGCCAAGUGUGGCUCCCAUUAAAGAGAUUCGUUUACCCCUUCAUGAAGUCUUGGCUCAUGUUUGGGGGAUUGGAGAACUGCAUACACUCUGGGGAUUGCUAUAUCACAAUGCAGUAUAAUCACUAGUAUAAUCACUAGCUCUUCUAAGAGCUGUUCCUUCUACGCUAGCUGGACUAGGAGAGGUCUACCCACUGGAAGCUGGAUCCUGGUUUUGGAUCCAGGGUGGGUGGAGGACAGCGAGACCCCAACCAAGCUGUGGCGCUUUGUGGGUUUUAUGGUGGUUAUGGUGUUCCAGUACAGUGCUUAUGGUGCUCGCAAGUACUAGGAAGCAGCGAUUGACGGAGGUACCCAGUCCGGUC